rnacentral:rRNA from 1 species
GACGAACGCUGGCGGCGUGCCUAAUACAUGCAAGUCGAACGCUUCUUUCCUCCCGAGUGCUUGCACUCAAUUGGAAAGAGGAGUGGCGGACGGGUGAGUAACACGUGGGUAACCUACCCAUCAGAGGGGGAUAACACUUGGAAACAGGUGCUAAUACCGCAUAACAGUUUAUGCCGCAUGGCAUAAGAGUGAAAGGCGCUUUCGGGUGUCGCUGAUGGAUGACCCGCGGUGCAUUAGCUAGUUGGUGAGGUAACGGCUCACCAAGGCCACGAUGCAUAGCCGACCUGAGAGGGUGAUCGGCCACACUGGGACUGAGACACGGCCCAGACUCCUACGGGAGGCAGCAGUAGGGAAUCUUCGGCAAUGGACGAAAGUCUGACUGAGCAACGCCGCGUGAGUGAAGAAGGUUUUCGGAUCGUAAAACUCUGUUGUUAGAGAAGAACAAGGACGUUAGUAACUGAACGUCCCCUGACGGUAUCUAACCAGAAAGCCACGGCUAACUACGUGC